rnacentral:rRNA from 1 species
CGGACGGGUGAGUAAUGUCUGGGAAACUGCCUGAUGGAGGGGGAUAACUACUGGAAACGGUAGCUAAUACCGCAUAACGUCGCAAGACCAAAGAGGGGGACCUUCGGGCCUCUUGCCAUCGGAUGUGCCCAGAUGGGAUUAGCUAGUAGGUGGGGUAAAGGCUCACCUAGGCGACGAUCCCUAGCUGGUCUGAGAGGAUGACCAGCCACACUGGAACUGAGACACGGUCCAGACUCCUACGGGAGGCAGCAGUGGGGAAUAUUGCACAAUGGGCGCAAGCCUGAUGCAGCCAUGCCGCGUGUAUGAAGAAGGCCUUCGGGUUGUAAAGUACUUUCAGCGGGGAGGAAGGGAGUAAAGUUAAUACCUUUGCUCAUUGACGUUACCCGCAGAAGAAGCACCGGCUAACUCCGUGCCAGCAGCCGCGGUAAUACGGAGGGUGCAAGCGUUAAUCGGAAUUACUGGGCGUAAAGCGCACGCAGGCGGUUUGUUAAGUCAGAUGUGAAAUCCCCGGGCUCAACCUGGGAACUGCAUCUGAUACCGGCAAGCUUGAGUCUC